rnacentral:tRNA from 1 species
GCCCCGAGGUGUAAACAUUUCGGAUUGCAAACCCGAAGAGGCAGGUUAGCCCCUGCCGGGGCUU